rnacentral:lncRNA from 1 species
UCCAUGAUAUUCUGGGAGAUGAACGCUGUAUAGUCUUCUUCUGAAAAGCCAGGCUUGCAUGUGGGUCUAACUGUAAGAUCCCCAUUGAGUGCCGCCGCCGAGCCCCAGACGAGCAGAACCAGCAGCAGCCGCGAGCCGGUCCUCAUCGCCCCGGCGGCGCCCGCCCGCCGGGCCGUGGCGGUGCGCUCGGCCGCCCCGUGCCGCUCUCCGGCCGCGCUGCGCGAGGACACCGACAACAGCCACGCACACUCUCGCACCCCACCACCGCCGCUCGGUGCCCG